rnacentral:lncRNA from 9 species
UUCAUAUCUCAGCUUAAAGUCAUUUCCUCAGAGAGGUCUUACCUGAAAACCCAAUCUGAAGACACUACUCAGUCAUUUUCUAUUAUAUCACCCCUUCUUAGUUUCUCAUUAUAGUAUGUAUUGCUCUCUGAUUGUGUGCAUAUGCUUAUGUAUUUACCUCUCCUCAUAGAAUGUAGAUCUGAACUGGUCCUUCUUGUUUAUCUCUGACACCCAGAAUCAUUGUUCUCAAGAUCUAGAUAAUACCUGGCAUAUAACAGGCAUAUCAUAAACGUUUGUUGAUGGAAUGAAUGAAAGCUUUUGUGAGUAGCAGCAAAGUGUGGUUUCCACUGGAAGAUCUUCUGGGAAUUUUCUAUGACCCAGUCCUCAAAGGAAUGAGCCAGAGUCCCAGAGAAAUAGGGAAAGAAAGCAAGAUAUGAUGGAGAACAAUGACCAGUGACUUGCUGCUAGAGCUGAUCGGCGAGAAGAUGUUCAAAGUCAAGAAGAUGCAGCCCAUAUUGUGGUACUAUAACCACUCACUCUGUCAGGAGGCAAAGGAUGAGAAUGUGGCCCAAUCCAGGGAAAUCAGCCAGUGGCAGAUGAUGGCCGUCAGAGGUCUGAGGAACUGGUCUUUGGGUUGUUUCUGGUCUACAUGACAAGCGUUCAGGGUGAGUGUCCUAGUCUGUUCUGGCGCUGUAACAAGAUACCACUGGGACUGGGAAUGAAUUUUCACAGUUCUGGAGGAUAGAUGUCCAAGAUCAGGUGCCAGCAUGGUUGAAUUCUGGUGAAGGCCCUCUUCUAGAUUAUAGACGGCUGACUUUGUGCUGUGCUUUCACAUGGCGGAAAGCGCAAGGGGUGUCCCUGGGGUCUCUUGACCUCAUCAUCUCCCAUUCACCUUGGGGGUUAGGAUUUCAAUGUAUGAAUC